AUGCUUAACAAUCCGCCGCCUCAAGACCAUGAUUUCCUUGCCGAACAAGUGCAAGUUGACACUUCAAGCCAUGCAGACCGGCCAACCAGCCCUGUCCAAACUGAUGACAAACCGGUCAGUCCAGUUAAGGAUACUGACAAUCCGCCGACUCCAGUGAGGGCUGCCGAUGACCAAGAUGAUGACAUUAUGAUUACUGGCACUGGCCACACCACUCCUGGCAACCCGGUCGCUUUGUCAAAGCAUACUGCCAAGGACAACCUCUCUGCUAUCGGCAAAGGCAAAUGGAAUGCCGAUUUAUCAAGCUAG
rnacentral:rRNA from 1 species